rnacentral:lncRNA from 1 species
UUCAUUUAGUAUGCCAUAUGACAACUUGGUAAAAUUAAUUUUUGCUCAGAAUGUGACUGUGAUUCCAAGGGCUAUGGUGUAUGUACUCGCUUUUAAGUUUGGCCUGCCUCUGCUGUCACCUGUUAUGCAAUGACCCCAUCCCUACAGUACUUCUGUCUAUGAAAAUUCUGAGAAGCCACUGCUUCUUUAGUAUACAUUGAAGUCCUCUGGUUUUCACUACAGUGCAAGUGAAUUCUACCUCACCC